GCCGGGCUCAGUGGCGUGAGUCUGUAAUCCAGCUACUAGGAGGCGCAAACGGCAGGAUGUGUUGAGGUAGGGAGUUCUGAGCUGCGCUGUGCUAUGUUGAGCUGGUGUCCGCACUAAGACCGGUGCCAAUAUGGGUUCCUCUAGGUAGCUUGAGGAGUCCAGGUUGAUAGUGAGGAGCGUAUCGGCCCAGGGACGAAAGUCAGCAGGCAAAAGCUCCCGUACUGGCCAGUAGUGGGAUAGCACCGGUGAAUAGGCACGUAGUUCAGCCCUACCAAAAUAUGCAAACUCGUCGU
rnacentral:SRP_RNA from 1 species